rnacentral:rRNA from 1 species
UACGAAGGGGCUAGCGUUGCUCGGAAUCACUGGCGUAAGGUGCGUAGGCGGUUUAAGUCAGAGUGAAUCCUGGAGCUCACUCCAGAACUGCCUUGAUACUGAAGUCUGAGUAUGGAGAGUGAGUGAACUGCGAGUGUAGAGUGAAUCGUAGAUAUUCGCAGACACAGUGCGAGCGCUCACUGCCAUACUGACGCUGAGCACGAAGCGUG